AGUGAACGCUGGCGGUAGGCCUAACACAUGCAAGUCGAACGGCAGCACAGUAAGAGCUUGCUCUUACGGGUGGCGAGUGGCGGACGGGUGAGGAAUACAUCGGAAUCUACUUUUUCGUGGGGGAUAACGUAGGGAAACUUACGCUAAUACCGCAUACGACCUACGGGUGAAAGCAGGGGAUCUUCGGACCUUGCGCGAUUGAAUGAGCCGAUGUCGGAUUAGCUAGUUGGCGGGGUAAAGGCCCACCAAGGCGACGAUCCGUAGCUGGUCUGAGAGGAUGAUCAGCCACACUGGAACUGAGACCCGGUCCAGACUCCUACGGGGCAGCAGUGGGGAAUAUUGGACAAUGGGCGCAAGCCUGAUCCAGCCAUACCGCGUGGGUGAAGAAGGCCUUCGGGUUGUAAAGCCCUUUUGUUGGGAAAGAAAAGCAGCAGGUUAAUACCCCGCUGUUCUGACGGUACCCAAAGAAUAAGCACCGGCUAACUUCGUG
rnacentral:rRNA from 1 species